rnacentral:tRNA from 1 species
GCAGUGCGUGGCCGAGUGCUUACGCUGUCCGCUUUGUAAGCGGAUGAUUCUGAGUUCGAUUCCCAUCUGCUGCA